CCUACGGGUGGCUGCAGUGGGGAAUAUUGGACAAUGGGCGAAAGCCUGAUCCAGCCAUGCCGCGUGUGUGAAGAAGGCCUUCGGGUUGUAAAGCACUUUCAGUGGGGAAGAAAGCCUUGGGGCUAAUACCCUCGAGGAAGGACAUCACCCACAGAAGAAGCACCGGCUAACUCCGUGCCAGCAGCCGCGGUAAUACGGAGGGUGCGAGCGUUAAUCGGAAUUACCGGGCGUAAAGCGCGCGUAGGCGGUCUGAUAAGCCGGUUGUGAAAGCCCCGGGCUCAACCUGGGAACGGCAUCCGGAACUGUCAGGCUAGAGUGCAGGAGAGGAAGGUAGAAUUCCCGGUGUAGCGGUGAAAUGCGUAGAGAUCGGGAGGAAUACCAGUGGCGAAGGCGGCCUUCUGGACUGACACUGACGCUGAGGUGCGAAAGCGUGGGUAGCAAACAGGAUUAGAUACCCGAGUAGUC
rnacentral:rRNA from 1 species